GAGGGGUCCUAGCGUUGUUCGGAAUCAUUGGGCGUAAAGCGGGUGUAGGCGGCUAAGUAAGUCAGAUGUGAAAGCCCUGGGCUCAACCCAGGAAGUGCAUUUGAUACUGCUUAGCUUGAGUGUGGGAGAGGAUAGUGGAAUUCCAGGUGUAGUGGUGAAAUACGUAGAUAUCUGGAGGAACAUCGGUGGCGAAGGCGGCUAUCUGGCCCAACACUGACGCUCAGACCCGAAAGCGUGGGGGAGCAAACAGGAUUAGAUACCCUGGUAGUCCACGCUGUAAACCGAUGGACACUUGGUGUUGGAGGUAUUGACCCCUUCAGUGCCGGAGCUAACGCGUUAAGUGUCCCCGCCUGGGACUACGGCCGCAAGGUUA
rnacentral:rRNA from 1 species